GUGUCAGAGUCUCAGUCCAACUCUCGUUUUUUGGUGCUUGUUUUCUCCAAUAUUGAGACUGCCACAGAAAGCAGAACCUCCUGUUCCCCGCCUCACCUUUAUCAGCGCCUUUGAAACAAUGUUAGGACUCAUCUACUUGAAGAAACAAAAUUGCGACCACUGGAUUUCUGCUCUGGGAUCUUCUAUAACAUUGGAGCUCCUAUUCCACCCUGGAGACCAGUCCGAGCUUUGUAGAUGAAGCUUGUAGUGCUGAGGAUAAGGAGUACAGAACUGGAAGCUCAGAACUCAGCCCUGCUCACAGCUGAGGUCAGAGGAGUCCUAUUGAGCAUGGCUCCCACCCUGCUCUCAUUCCGUAUUCCCUGAGCCCAAGAGGGGCUGAGAACUGCUCCCACAUCCCUGACUGAGGUCUGGAACAGCAGAGCAGGAGCCCACUGCUAAAGGAGAGCAUCAGGAGCAUCUCUAGUGUUGACAUGAGCGUGUUCCUGCCUGCCCAGUGCUCCUAGCGCUC
ensembl:lncRNA